rnacentral:rRNA from 1 species
GAUGAACGCUGGCGGCGCGCCUAACACAUGCAAGUCGAACGAUUAAAGCACCUUCGGGUGUGUAUAAAGUGGCGAACGGCUGAGUAACACGUGGGCAACCUGCCCCUUUCAUUGGGAUAGCCACGGGAAACCGUGGAUAAUACCGAAUACUUCGCGACUUCCGCAUGGAAGACUCGAGAAAGCUCCGGCGGAGAGGGAUGGGCCCGCGGCCUGUUCGCUUGUUGGUGGGGUAACGGCCUACCAAGGCAAUGAUGGGUAGCUGGGUUGAGAGACCGACCAGCCAGAUUGGGACUGAGACACGGCCCAGACUCCUACGGGAGGCAGCAGUGGGGAAUCUUGCACAAUGGGCGAAAGCCUGAUGCAGCGACGCCGCGUGCGGGAUGAAGGCCUUCGGGUGGUAAACCGCUUUCAGCAGGGACGAGGCGAAAGUGACGGUACCUGCAGAAGAAGCCCCGGCUAACUACGUG